UUCGGCAGCUAGCUCUCUGCAACUCUCACAUGGCCACCCACUGAAGCUAAGCAGGGCUGUGCGCGGUCAGUACCUGGAUGGGAGACCACAUGGGAAAGCUAGGUUGCUGCCGGAA
rfam:Danio rerio chromosome 4, GRCz11 reference primary assembly.